GGGAAUGUGGCUUAGUGGUACAGUACUUGCCUAGCAUGCAUGAAACAUUGGGUUCAAUUCCUCAGUACCA
rfam:Dipodomys ordii contig_16408, whole genome shotgun sequence.